UAGCUUUAAGAUUUUUCAUUUAAAGUUUUACCUGCCCGGUGGAAUUUCUUAACGGCCGCAGUACUUUGACUGUGCUAAGGUAGCAUAAUAAAUUGGCUUUUAAUUAAAGUCGGGUAUGAAAGGGAAUUUGGAAAAUAACUGUCUCAAGUAUAUUUUAUUUUAAUUUAAUUAAUGAGUGAAAAUUCUCAUAUUUUAUUACAUUAGACGAGAAGACCCUAAGAGUUAUAAUUAAAAUGAAUUUAUUUCAUAUAUCAUUUUUGUUGGGGCAACAAAGACUGGAUAGAACCGUCAAAAAGUAAUUUUACAUAACCAAUAAUAUUUAAAAAGAAAUGAACUACCUUAGGGAUAACAGCAUAAUUAAUUUUUAGAUUGUGACCUCGAUGUUGGAUUAAGGACUUAGUUUACUAGCCGUAAACUAAGAUAGUUCUGUUCGAACUGUAGUACCUU
rnacentral:rRNA from 1 species